GGCCAGACUCCUACGGGAGGCAGCAGUGGGGAAUAUUGCACAAUGGGGGAAACCCUGAUGCAGCGACGCCGCGUGGAGGAAGAAGGUCUUCGGAUUGUAAACUCCUGUCCUUGGGGACGAUAAUGACGGUACCCAAGGAGGAAGCACCGGCUAACUACGUGCCAGCAGCCGCGGUAAAACGUAGGGUGCGAGCGUUAUCCGGAUUUAUUGGGUUUAAAGGGUGCGCAGGCGGCACGGCAAGCCGGCGGUCAAAUCGCGGGGCUCAACCCCGCCCAGCCGUCGGAACUGCCGGGCUAGAGUGGGCGAGAAGUGCGCGGAAUGCGUGGUGUAGCGGUGAAAUGCAUAGAUAUCACGCAGAACUCCGAUUGCGAAGGCAGCGCACCGGCGCCCUACUGACGCUCAGGCACGAAAGCGUGGGUAUCGAACAGGAUUAGAUACCCGAGUA
rnacentral:rRNA from 1 species